GCUUUUAAUGAUGUCCUGAAGAGGGGACCUGCACGCAGAGGGUCACCGGGGAAUGUUUACCCUGUAUCCCAGCGCAGUGGGAACUGAAUGACAGGACCUCCAUUAGCCUAAGUAAGCAUUGUAGGGGACCCGAUAUUGCAUUCCCAGUAGUAACUGUUGGAAUCGUCUCUUCAUUCCCCCUAAAUCCCCUUCAAUCAGAGUUCAAAUAUCUUUCCAGUAAAAGGCUGCUUCGUAAAUCUCAUUUCGGUUCAGGCAAUCUCAUAGCACUUGUUUGAAACUCCUUCCUGCUGCCCGUGAGAGGACGAUAAGCUGUCCUGCAGCGGUUACACCUUUGGUAGAGCCGUCCCGGUCACCGGCAGAGCACAGAGGAAUCAGCUUGAGCGCACGCACUGAUAACGCAGGAUACAUGCUGCAAAAUACCGUGAAAUGCACAUGAACAUACCCACCCACACACCCGACACCGCUCAAUACUUUUCUUUGAUCAAGGUUUCCUUGAGGACAGACGUUGUGGAUUGUUUUGCUUUUGUCUUGGGAGACUGGAAGAGAGGCUCUGUCUUCACCCUCCCGUACUAGAGAUUCUCCCUAUAUAAACAGCCCGGCCCUGGCAAUCCCUGGCAGCGUCAGAAAAUCCGAUCGAUUUUCUUUGGCACAUGAUUUGUACACGCAGCUCUCUACGGAGUGACUGUCCAUCACUCCUGAGCUGCCUUCUUAAAAGCUAAUCUUCUCCUUUGUCAUGCAUUGUUGUCACUCUCGCUUUGAGGCUAAUUAGUCUCUAAUUUCUAAGACGAUUUCAAAACCGAUGAGAUCAAAGGAGGUGGAUGGGGGCUGCCGAAGGAUCUCUCUCCUCGAAAAUACUUCCUGUUUGCCUACAGGACAGCAAACAUUUCCCGCCGCGUACCGGGAUUUGCCGUCAUUGACGACUCAGCGAGCGAACCACGCACUCUCUUUCCUGGGAAAGGGGAAAGUCUCUCCCAGUGUCCCCUUGCCCCACGGGCGGGCUGCGGAAGGUGCGCGGGAUCCCGCCCAGCUGCCAUAUCAAUAUGCUUGGUAGAUUUGCAUUGAGUAUGUAUUGUUUCUCUUUACAAAUGGAAAGCAGGAACAGAACAAGUGUCAAAGAGAAAUAGAAGAAUGGUGGCAAAAAGAACAAUAAGGUAAUUGGAAACCGAGAGUUUGAUUUAUCUAGAAUUUAAUUUCUGGGACCUUUUGUGUUAUAGAGAUGUUUAACUUUAGGAAAAUCCCAUUAAAGUAUUUAGCUGUAAGCACUUGGUCCCUCCGCAAAUGGUAUUUUAUUUUUAUAUUAAUUAUAUGUAAUACACAUUUAUCAAGUGAUUUAUUAAUAUAUCUUUGGAAUAUGUAUUUAUUAACAACAUGGAGUAAGCUUUGAUUGCUCGCUAACCUAAAAGUUUUGAUUCUGCAAAUGUAAUUUUAAACAUACAAACCAGUGUUACUGCUAUUUGUCAGAUUUUUUUUUUAAAGUGAACUGCAAAAUGAAAAUUUCCAUCUCACAUUCCAUCAUAUUAUUCCCAUGUGUGUCAGUGGCAGGGCUGAAAUCUUUAGACCCUUUGUGCUGCUUACUGCCUAUGCAGCCAAAUCUCCGCUCUCUGCCAUCAGG
rnacentral:lncRNA from 1 species